rnacentral:rRNA from 1 species
CCUACGGGAGGCAGCAGUGAGGAAUAUUGGUCAAUGGGCGCGAGCCUGAACCAGCCAAGUAGCGUGAAGGAUGACUGCCCUACGGGUUGUAAACUUCUUUUAUAAAGGAAUAAAGUGAGGCACGUGUGCCUUUUUGUAUGUACUUUAUGAAUAAGAGUAGGCUAACUCAGUGCCAACAGCCGCGGUAAUUCGGAGGAUCCGAGCGUUAUCCGGAUUUCAUGGGUGUAAAGGGAGCGGAGAUGGGUUGUUAAGUCAGUUGUGAAAUUUUGCGGCGCAACCGUAAAAUUGCAAUUGAUACUGGCAGUCGUGAGUACAGUUGAGGUAGGCGGAAUUCGUGGUGUAGCGGUGAAAUGCUUAGAUAUCACGAAGAACUCCGAUUGCGAAGGCAGCUUACUAAACUGCCACUGACAUUGAUGCUCGAAAGUGUGGGUAGCAAACAGGAUUAGAUACCCGGGUAGUC